rnacentral:lncRNA from 1 species
GUGGAUUCAAAACUGUGUGCUAGGUAUGAAAUUGAAAUUUCUACACUCAAACAUAGUUACUGAUUCUAUCCCCUUCUUAUGGUUAAUGAAUUCCUGUAAUUCUGUGUUGUGUGAAUAAAAGUGUUAUUUUCAUGUUUUAUUUUCCUGUAAUAUGUGUGAAUGAAAGUAAAUGCAAUGAUAUGGUUACUUAGAAAAUGUACAUGGAGUGUAAAAAUUGCUGAACUCUUGGAUAUUUUAUACUUAAUUUGGUAACUUUCUUUGUGGGUUCUUGAUGUUAAUGUUUUUUUUUAUUGGUUUCAUGAUUUAUUGUUUUGUGUUUCUGUAGGAUUUUGCUAUAUCACUCCAAAAUAUGGAUUGACUAACAUCAGUUGACAUGUCUUUGUAGGAACGUCUCCAUGAAAAGAAGCAGGUCCUUCAUUAUUUGGAGAAGAAAUUACAAGAAAAAGGUAGACAGCUGCAUGCUACCAAUUUAGAUUAUGAUGCAUGCUUACAUACUUUCAUAUUUUAUAUACGAGUUUUUAAGUUUGGUUUUUGAUGUGAUACAACAAAUGUAUAGAUCUAUUACUGAAAAAUUUAUGUUAUGUGUUGCCUCCCGUUUACUGUUAAUUUAAUCUAUUACUGAAAAGUUUAUGUUAUGUGUUGCCUCCCGUUUACUGUUAAUUUAAUCUCUUACUAACAAUAGGUUAUUAAUAACAAAAUACAUGGAACAUUUGGUUAUUUAAAUCCAGAGUACUUCCACUCUAGCCAAUUUACAGACAACAGUGGCUAUGGAGAAAAUUAAACCCGCAGCAACGCGCGGCGCGGUACUGUUCCCGUGACCAGUGACAGUUGGGCUUGGGCUUUUUCUCUCCUUGGGCUUUUGGGCCUGCGUCUCGCCGUUUUCUGAUUCUUUUUCUUGCUCUCUCUCGAUCUCUCUCGAAACUCCACCGAAUCGUCUUUU